rnacentral:rRNA from 1 species
GAUGAACGCUGGCGGCGUGCCUAAUACAUGCAAGUCGAACGAACGGACGAGAAGCUUGCUUCUCUGAUGUUAGCGGCGGACGGGUGAGUAACACGUGGAUAACCUACCUAUAAGACUGGGAUAACUUCGGGAAACCGUAGCUAAUACCGGAUAAUAUUUUGAACCGCAUGGUUCAAAAGUGAAAGACGGUCUUGCUGUCACUUAUAGAUGGAUCCGCGCUGCAUUAGCUAGUUGGUAAGGUAACGGCUUACCAAGGCAACGAUGCAUAGCCGACCUGAGAGGGUGAUCGGCCACACUGGAACUGAGACACGGUCCAGACUCCUACGGGAGGCAGCAGUUGGGAAUCUUCCGCAAUGGGCGAAAGCCUGACGGAGCAACGCCGCGUGAGUGAUGAAGGUCUUCGGAUCGUAAAACUCUGUUAUUAGGGAAGAACAUAUGUGUAAGUAACUGUGCACAUCUUGACGGUACCUAAUCAGAAAGCCACGGCUAACUACGUG